CUUUUCCUUCCUAGAUGCUGAUAAUACAGAAAACUGUAACCGGGCCACAGGUCUGAGGUCUGGGACUUCCUGCCUGCUUUCGCUCUUCUGGAAAUACAACACUGCAUGAAAGAGGCAAAGACCAUAUUUCCCUGCUUUACAGUGAGGGAUGCAGUCAAUACAUAAUUUUUGGCAAAGAGGAAUGAAAUCUGAAACUGGCAGCUAAUGACCUAUGGGACAAGAUGCAGAGGCUGUUUGAAUUUACUGUUCCUGUCAUCAUUACUAAGCCCAUGGACUUGGACUGAAAUCUACACCACGGGAUCUCCAGCUCUCAGGCCUUUUAACUACACCACUGGCCUUCCUGGGUCUCCACCUUGGUCAUGGGACUUCUCAUCCUCCAUUGUAUGAGCCAAUACCUUAUAGUAAGUCUUUUUAUAUAUAUCCUUUGCUUCUGUUUCUUUGGAGAACUGUGACUAAUACACUUGAAUCACAAAAUAAACAUUGCAUAGAUAUAAAUUAUCAUAAUUAUAAGUAGUUAUAAGUUAUC